rnacentral:rRNA from 1 species
GACGAACGCUGGCGGCGUGCCUAAUACAUGCAAGUUGAGCGAUGAAGAUUGGUGCUUGCACCAAUUUGAAGAGCAGCGAACGGGUGAGUAACGCGUGGGGAAUCUGCCUUUGAGCGGGGGACAACAUUUGGAAACGAAUGCUAAUACCGCAUAACAACUUUAAACAUAAGUUUUAAGUUUGAAAGAUGCAAUUGCAUCACUCAAAGAUGAUCCCGCGUUGUAUUAGCUAGUUGGUGAGGUAAAGGCUCACCAAGGCGAUGAUACAUAGCCGACCUGAGAGGGUGAUCGACCACAUUGGGACUGAGACACGGCCCAAACUCCUACGGGAGGCAGCAGUAGGGAAUCUUCGGCAAUGGACGAAAGUCUGACCGAGCAACGCCGCGUGAGUGAAGAAGGUUUUCGGAUCGUAAAACUCUGUUGGUAGAGAAGAACGUUGGUGAGAGUGGAAAGCUCAUCAAGUGACGGUAACUACCCAGAAAGGGACGGCUAACUACGUG